UACGUAGGGUGCGAGCGUUGUCCGGAAUUACUGGGCGUAAAGAGCUCGUAGGUGGUUUGUCGCGUUGUUUCGUGAAAAACUCACAGCUUAACUGUGGGCGUGCGGGCGAUACGGGCAGACUGGAGUACUGCAGGGGAGACUGGAAUUCCUGGUGUAGCGGUGGAAUGCGCAGAUAUCAGGAGGAACACCGGUGGCGAAGGCGGGUCUCUGGGCAGUAACUGACGCUGAGGAGCGAAAGCGUGGGGAGCGAACAGG
rnacentral:rRNA from 1 species